AGCUUUGCACAGUGGGCAGUAUCCUAGCCAAUGAGGUUUAUCCAAGGCACGAUUAUUGCUAAAAGAAUCCUGAUUAAACAUACUUCUAUAAAAAUAAACAGGUGUUGGGGGCACCUGGGUAGCACCUAGGUG
rnacentral:snRNA from 1 species